rnacentral:tRNA from 1 species
GGACAGAUGGCCGAGCGGUUAAGGCGCUAGCUUAAGGCACCCCGGGUCUAUACGCUAGUUCGAAAGAGCGUGGGUUCGAUUCCCACUCUGUUCA